rnacentral:rRNA from 1 species
AUUGAACGCUGGCGGCAUGCCUUACACAUGCAAGUCGAGCGGCAGCGCGGGGGCGAACCCUGGCGGCGAGCGGCGGACGGGUGAGUAAUACAUCGGAACGUGUCCUUUCGUGGGGAUAACCAGUCGAAAGACUGGCUAAUACCGCAUGAGAUCUGACGAUGAAAGCGAGGGACCCGCAAGGGCCUCGCGCGAUUGGAGCGGCCGAUGUCGGAUUAGCUAGNGGCGGGGUAAAGCCCACCAAGGCGACGAUCCGUAGCUGGUUUGAGAGAACGACCAGCCACACUGGGA